rnacentral:lncRNA from 1 species
ACAAGAGGGCAUUCUGAGAUUUUCCUAGUACAAAAUUAUUUUAGUGAUUUUAAGCACAUAGAGACUCUUUUUUUUUGAUAUUUUUUAAUAGACCUCUUCUAAGACAUGGCUUCAAGUGAGGGUGAAGGUUUGAGAGUGAUUGAGAAGUUUAGAGGUAACAAUUUCUACCAUUGGAAGGUCAAAAUGGAGCUUUUAUUGGCGUCUUUAGACCUUUGGGAUAUUGUAGAUGAAAGUGAAGAGCUUCCAAGCACGUAUGCUAAUGCUAAAGAGAGGAAGGACUUCAGAAGACGUAAAAAGAAGGCUUUUGGCAUGAUUG